CAGUAUAUGCUUUCCAGAGAUGUUGCUGUCAUCAAAAAUGGAGAAAGGAGAAAGAGAAGGACCUACUCCAGGCUGAAUGGGGCCAAGGAGGUGUGACAACUAAGUGUGCAUCGCUCCUAGAUCUGAGAGGCUUGUCCAUUUUAUGGCUGCUGAGAACUGACUGAUGACGCUCCCUUCCCUGUAGAUGCAUUAGACUCUCGUCAGAAAGGGUGCUGACUGGAGGGGCACCUCACCACGCAUGUCCUACGUCGUAAUUCUCAAUAGCUGCAGCCCCAGCCCCGCUCACUGCUUUCCGUAGUGUGGCCAUUCUGACUCUGUAGCUCCAGCGUAGGAAACAAAGUCUUGUCUGUGCAUGAAUCCAGCUGAACACAUCUGGUCCAUGUUGGUCAACUUGAAUAAAAGCCCUAGGCCUGC
rnacentral:lncRNA from 1 species